GAGACGCACUGUGAUCUAUAGAUACAGGGUGUGCCAAAGAAAGAUAGAUGGUUUCUAGCUUUGAUUUAUUAUUAUUAUUUUUAUUUUACUUGUGAGAUAAAGCCCUAGAACUAUUUAUGCCCGAAGGGAUGAGCCGUGAUCCAAGAAUACAGGUCAUGCUCAAAUAACGAUAAGCUAUAUCCAAGGCUUAAUUACAAGCAUAUAAUAUUAUGAAAGAAAUACAACUCUAUUUUAUGCAA
rnacentral:lncRNA from 1 species